UCUCUGGUGGCUUAGAUGGUAAAGAAUCUGCCUGCAAUUCAGGAGACCCAGGUUCAGUUCCUGGGUUGGGAG
rnacentral:tRNA from 1 species